GCAGGGCUGCUGGGAGCUCCCCUGGGAUGAACUCUUUGUCCAGCUCCUCUUUCUGCAGCUCCAUUUCACUCGGGCUGGGCUGGAAAGUGAUUACCUGGAAGGGCUUGGGUUACCCUGAGCCUCAACAAAGGCAGCACCAGGUGCUCAGAAACAUUUUCAUCAGGAGCUCUGAGCUUUUCUUCUUGUUGGGAACUCAUCAAGCUCCCAUGGCUCAGGCUUUGAGUUGGCUGGUUUUUUUGUUCUGCAGCCUGAGGACCUUCCUCAGAGGGGUUUCUUCCCUCUCAGCUGACUGCAGCCUGGACUGCCACAGCCACUGCCUCAUAGACUGCAGGCAGGGCCAUUAUUACACUGCUGGCAACUGCCUGGAGUGCCCAGCAGGGUUCUACUGCCCUGGAGGCCGAGCAGCUCCAAGAAAAUGCCCACUGGGAACUGCCAAUGAACUGACUGCUCAGGGAAACCUCUCAGCCUGCCAGGUUUGUCCCCAGGGUCAUGUCAGCCUGGAGAGCCGGGCCGGCUGCCGGCCC